rnacentral:rRNA from 1 species
UACGUAGGUGGCAAGCGUUGUCCGGAUUUACUGGGCGUAAAGAGCGCGCAGGCGGUCGAUUAAGUCGAAUGUGAAAGCCCCCGGCUCAACUGGGGAGGGUCAUUCGAUACUGAUCGACUUGAAGGCAGGAGAGAGAAGUGGAAUUCCCGGUGUAGUGGUGAAAUGCGUAGAUAUCGGGAGGAACACCAGUGGCGAAGGCGACUUCUUGGCCUGUUCUUGACGCUGAGGCGCGAAAGCUAGGGGAGCAAACGGG